rnacentral:rRNA from 1 species
AUUGAACGCUGGCGGCAUGCCUUACACAUGCAAGUGGAGCGACGAACCAGGGCUUGCCCUGGGGCAAAGCCGCGAACGGGUGAGUAACACGUGGGUAACCUGCCCCGAUGACCGGAACAACCCGAGGAAACUCGGGCUAAUACCGGAUGUGCUCUUCCCACAUAAGUGUGUCGAGUAAAGGAAGCUUCGGCCUCCGCUUCGGGAGGGGCCCGCGGCCCAUUAGCUAGUUGGUGAGGUAACGGCUCACCAAGGCAACGAUGGGUAGCUGGUCUGAGAGGACGAUCAGCCACACUGGGACUGAGACACGGCCCAGACUCCUACGGGAGGCAGCAGUGGGGAAUCUUGCGCAAUGCGCGAAAGCGUGACGCAGCAACGCCGCGUGGGGGAAGAAGGCCUUCGGGUUGUAAACCCCUUUCAGGAGGGACGAAGGUAGGGCGGUGAACAGCCGUCCCUACUGACGGUACCUCCAGAAGAAGCCCCGGCUAACUACGUGCCAGCCGCCGCCGUAA